rnacentral:rRNA from 1 species
UGGGGAAUAUUGGACAAUGGGCGCAAGCCUGAUCCAGCAAUGCCGCGUGGAUGAAGAAGGUCUUCGGAUUGUAAAGUCCUUUCGGCGGGGACGAUGAUGACGGUACCCGCAGAAGAAGCCCCGGCUAACUUCGUGCCAGCAGCCGCGGUAAUACGAAGGGGGCUAGCGUUACUCGGAAUGACUGGGCGUAAAGGGCGCGUAGGCGGUUUGGACAGUUAGGCGUGAAAUUCCUGGGCUCAACCUGGGGGCUGCGCUUAAUACAUCCAGACUUGAGUGUGGAAGAGGGUCGUGGAAUUCCCAGUGUAGAGGUGAAAUUCGGAGAUAUUGGGAAGAACACCGGUGGCGAAGGCGGCGACCUGGUCCAUUACUGACGCUGAGGCGCGAAAGCGUGGGGAGCAAACA